AUGUCCAUGCAAAUUCUUAAAUACAAGCUAAUAUUAUUCUUCGAUUUUAGAAGAGGGAACUCUACACACUAUGAGUCCAGUGCUGCUCUCCAGCGCUCUGUGUGCGGCUGCCAUGCUGACAGAUGGCACUGCCCAGGGUGUUGGUUUCAUGCCAUGUCACAGUCUUUAGAGGGACGAAAGCCGUACUGUCUGUUCAAAGAGCACAAAGGCUCAACGACAGAAAACAUCACUGUAUUAACAGAGCUAAAGGGCUUAUCUGUACAAAACACACUUUCAGAGGUCUUGGGGAUGCUGAGAAAAUCAGGUGCCUGUGGCAGUCCAUCCAUCAUUCACUGUUGACUCUAGUACAGGAAACCAGUGUCUGUUAUGCUUGUUCAGCUACACUGUAUUAAAUGACUAAACUACAGAGGUGAGUUCCUGUUUGUUUCUGCUUUAAUGUUGUUUUCUCCUAAUUGGAAUGACCUACUUAGUAUGCUACAUGGUAGAUGGGAUCGGGCACUGUGUGCCAAGAAUAAUCAUUAAAAGAGUUUGAGUUCUUCACUGACCCAGGACAGUCUCACUCAUUACUACAAAGCUGCUCUCAGCAACGAGACACUGUUUCUUUUGCAUUUGUUUUUAAGGUGACUUUUUAAAAUUCAGAGGUUCACAUCGUUUACCUUAUCAUGUCUGCAAAAAACAAGGUGCUCUAGGUAAAUGUGCUCUGUGCAACUCCUGUAAAAUGCCCAUGUUCAUGCAAUGCUGCAUUAUUAAAGAUCUAAUUGUAGCUUUAAAAAUUUAUGCAAGUAUGCAAAAUACAUGGAAAAAAUUAACUUGGAAAUCUAUGAAUAUUAAUUUUACAAAACACAGUUCUUUUUGCAAGUCUAAUUACAAGGCUAGACUGUAUUGAUAUUCCUCAAACAUUCUGGAAGUGAAGCAUGCACGGGCAGCACUCAAGGGGGCUGCCUGCCGUGACUGGGAGCUUCUAAAAGAAAACUUAAAUGAACUGGACGAUAGGGAGGAAGAGGAACUGGUG
ensembl:lncRNA